ACUGAAAUUAGUAGAAGCUAGGCCAAUGA
rnacentral:piRNA from 2 species